rnacentral:sRNA from 1 species
CUUCACAGCAAUGAAAACCCUAAGACACUGCCUGUCCUUGGUUUCUAUUGCUGUGAUAAAAUAAUCAUACCAAGAACAACUUGGGGAAAGAAAGGGCUUAUUUCAGUUUAUAGUUUCUAGUUCAACAUUGUGGUGGUUUAAAUAUGCUUGGCUUGUAGGAAGUGGCAUUGUUAGGAGGUGUGGCCUUAUGGAAGAGGUAUAAUCUUGUUAGAAGAAGUGUGCCACUGCGGAGGUGGGAAUUUGAGGAUAUAUAUGUGUGUGUGUAUAUAUAUAUAUGUAUAUAUAUAUAUAUGUAUGUAUGUAUAUAUGAUCCAGAGCCUCCUCUUGACUGCCUCCAGAAGACAGUCUCCUCCUUGUUGACUUCAGAUCUCCUCUGGCACCAUAUCUGCCUACUUCCUGCCAUGUUUUCUACCGUGAUGAUAAUGAAGAGAACCUCUGAAACUGUAAGUUAGUUCCAAAUUAAAUGUUUGCCUUUAUAAGAGUUGCCUUGGUCUUCACCAAUACAAAACCCCCAGCUAAGACAGUCAGAGAAUUCAAAGCAGGAACUCAACAAGAACCUGGAGGCAGGGGCUAUAGAGGAAGGCUGCGUACUGACUUCCUAUCUAUGGCUUGCUUCGCCUGCUUUCUUAUAGCUCCUAGGACCACAGACCAUGGUUUGUGUCACUCACAAUGAACUAGACCCUCCCACAGCAACCACCCAUCAAGAAAAUGUACCAAAGUACUGCCCUUUGGUCAGUCUGGGUUGGGGUGGAUUUUAUCAAUUGAGGUUCCCUCUUCUAAAAUGGGUUCCUUGUUAACUUGACACAGAAACACAUCACUCUUCAACUAGAAACUUCCUUUCCUCAUCUGUACCCAAGAUGGCAUGUUACUAUUAAUACAAUAGUAUAAUAUAUUCCAACACCUAAAAGUUUGAGAUAUUUAAAAAUCCAAACACUUCAUAGGCUCUGCCACUUUAAAACAUCUGAAGUAUCAAAAUUCACACCUUUCUAAAAUAUCCUGGGUCUCUAAAAUAUCCAUAGUCUCUCUGAAACUACGGCAUCUCUGCAAAACUCCCAGGUCUCUCAGCUGUAGGCCCCUGUAUAAUAAAAAUAAGCUUCCUGCUUUCUUAUUCCGGAGGGAAGAGACAGAGCCAGCCUCCCAGUCAAAGCCAAACUGAAGUCCAUAGUGUAAAGCUCAGAGUCCUCCGUCAGGGACUCGUGGUUUUCGACUGUCUCCAAAGGGCUUAGCUAGCUAUCCUCAGCACAUAACCGCUCACCUCCAAGCUCAGGCCAGCUCCACUCAGAGCAGCUGUCGUCUGUGGCAGUCAUCCGUGGUACUGGCAUCUCUGAAAUGUUGGGGUCUCCUGCAGCAUCCGGGCUUCACUUUCACCAAUGGCUUCCUUCUCCUGACUCUCUUCAACGCCUCUGAUCCUGCCACACGGUGCCAAACCUCAUCUUCUUUUCAUGACCAAUCCUGGACCUUCUACUGCGUCUGAGGCUUUGCCUUCACUAAUUCCCUCUUGGCUUCUCUUCAGGGACCUCAGGCUUGGCACAGAACGUCAAGCGUCAGCUGCUCUCCAGGACCCCAGCAUACCUUUAAGAAGGAGAAUAGUAAAACAGCAGUAAAGCUCCAUUAAGAGAAGAAGACUCCUUUCGGGAAAGGAGAAUCUUUGGCCAGGGUGAAAACAUUGCAUUCCAGUUGGGACAAGUCAAUUAGUCUCGGGAUCCCAGGAAGUUUUGCAGAAGGUACCAUGAGGUGCUGAGAAGAAGGACAUCAUUUUUACAGCAUGCAGACACAGAUCUGCAUGAGAGGGGAGCCUGAGGACCAGAGAAGCCUCCUCAGGUGUUACCUUCCACUGGUAAUGAAGCUGUCUUGUAUCACAUUCAAAGCCCUGUCCAACUUACCUGUACUUUGGAUGUGGUUGAAUUUGAAACCUUGUUCAGAUACUUUUGAGGCGAAGCAGAACUAAAUUAGAGUCACAGAGUCUUUCAGAAGUGUGAUAAAAGAUUAUAGACCUUUUAUACUGCUUCCUGCUGCUUGAAACAGAGAUAUGAUGUCUAGAGCUAUGGCAAAUCCCUUGACCUUUGGAGUGAAUUUGAAGAUACAUACCAAGGAUGACAAAAGACGGGCAUUUUAACGUUGCGAUUGAGCCAGCAUACCAUUGUGGAAUAUCCUUCAUUGCUGCCUUUUUACAAGUGGGAAAAAUGAACUAUCAUAUUUAAGACAACGUUAACACCUGCAGUUCCUAUUAAAAAUGUUCUAAGUCCCUUGACCUCUAUGGAAAAGUUUAAUUUCUAAAGUGCUUGGAGACUGUGUUAUGUUUUAUUUAUAGUUUAAUUCCAUGAUGAUCAGAGAACAUAUUCUGUGUGUGUGAUUUUAAUUUUUCUUUCUUACAUUUUUU